CCUACGGGAGACUGCAGUCGAGAAUCAUUCACAAUGGGGGAAACCCUGAUGGUGCGACGCCGCGUGGGGGAAUGAAGGUCUUCGGAUUGUAAACCCCUGUCAUGUGGGAGCAAAUUAAAAAGAUAGUACCACAAGAGGAAGAGACGGCUAACUCUGUGCCAGCAGCCGCGGUAAUACAGAGGUCUCAAGCGUUGUUCGGAAUCACUGGGCGUAAAGCGUGCGUAGGCUGUUUCGUAAGUCGUGUGUGAAAGGCGCGGGCUCAACCCGCGGACGGCACAUGAUACUGCGAGACUAGAGUAAUGGAGGGGGAACCGGAAUUCUCGGUGUAGCAGUGAAAUGCGUAGAUAUCGAGAGGAACACUCGUGGCGAAGGCGGGUUGCUGGACAUUAACUGACGCUGAGGCACGAAGGCCAGGGGAGCGAAAGGGAUUAGAUACCCCAGUAGUC
rnacentral:rRNA from 1 species